rnacentral:rRNA from 1 species
UACGGAGGGUGCAAGCGUUAUCCGGAAUCACUGGGUUUAAAGGGUGCGUAGGCUGCUGCAUAAGUCAGGGGUGAAAGCUUGUGGCUUAACGAUAGAAUUGCCUUUGAUACUGAUCGGCUUGAAAGUAGGAGAGGUUGGCGGAAUGUGACAUGUAGCGGUGAAAUGCGUAGAUAUGUCAUAGAACACCGAUUGCGAAGGCAGCUGGCUAUGCUGUAAUUGACGCUGAGGCACGGAAGAGUGGGUAGCAAACAGG